rnacentral:rRNA from 1 species
AUACGAAGGGGGCUAGCGUUGUUCGGAAUUACUGGGCGUAAAGCGCACGUAGGCGGACUGGAAAGUUGGGGGUGAAAUCCCGGGGCUCAACCCCGGAACUGCCUCCAAAACUUCCAAUCUAGAGAUCGAGAGAGGUGAGUGGAAUUCCAAGUGUAGAGGUGAAGUUCGUAGAUAUUUGGAGGAACACCAGUGGCGAAGGCGGCUCACUGGCUCGAUACUGACGCUGAGGUGCGAAAGCGUGGGGAGCAAACAGGAUUAGAAACCCCGGUAGUCC